rnacentral:rRNA from 2 species
UGCCUAUACAUGCAGUCGAACGAACUCUGGUAUUGAUUGGUGCUUGCAUCAUGAUUUACAUUUGAGUGAGUGGCGAACUGGUGAGUAACACGUGGGAAACCUGCCCAGAAGCGGGGGAUAACACCUGGAAACAGAUGCUAAUACCGCAUAACAACUUGGACCGCAUGGUCCGAGUUUGAAAGAUGGCUUCGGCUAUCACUUUUGGAUGGUCCCGCGGCGUAUUAGCUAGAUGGUGGGGUAACGGCUCACCAUGGCAAUGAUACGUAGCCGACCUGAGAGGGUAAUCGGCCACAUUGGGACUGAGACACGGCCCAAACUCCUACGGGAGGCAGCAGUAGGGAAUCUUCCACAAUGGACGAAAGUCUGAUGGAGCAACGCCGCGUGAGUGAAGAAGGGUUUCGGCUCGUAAAACUCUGUUGUUAAAGAAGAACAUAUCUGAGAGUAACUGUUCAGGUAUUGACGGUAUUUAACCAGAAAGCCACGGCUAACUACGUGCCAGCAGCCGCGGUAAUACGUAGGUGGCAAGCGUUGUCCGGAUUUAUUGGGCGUAAAGCGAGCGCAGGCGGUUUUUUAAGUCUGAUGUGAAAGCCUUCGGCUCAACCGAAGAAGUGCAUCGGAAACUGGGAAACUUGAGUGCAGAAGAGGACAGUGGAACUCCAUGUGUAGCGGUGAAAUGCGUAGAUAUAUGGAAGAACACCAGUGGCGAAGGCGGCUGUCUGGUCUGUAACUGACGCUGAGGCUCGAAAGUAUGGGUAGCAAACAGGAUUAGAUACCCUGGUAGUCCAUACCGUAAACGAUGAAUGCUAAGUGUUGGAGGGUUUCCGCCCUUCAGUGCUGCAGCUAACGCAUUAAGCAUUCCGCCUGGGGAGUACGGCCGCAAGGCUGAAACUCAAAGGAAUUGACGGGGGCCCGCACAAGCGGUGGAGCAUGUGGUUUAAUUCGAAGCUACGCGAAGAACCUUACCAGGUCUUGACAUACUAUGCAAAUCUAAGAGAUUAGACGUUCCCUUCGGGGACAUGGAUACAGGUGGUGCAUGGUUGUCGUCAGCUCGUGUCCUGAGAAGUUUGGGGUUAAGUCCCCGCAACGAGCGCAACCCUUAUUAUCAGUUGCCAGCAUUAAGUUGGGGCCUCUGGUGAGACUGCCCGUGACAACCCGAGGAGAGAGGGGGGGAGGAAGUCCAAAUAAUAUUGGCCCCUUUUAACCGGGGGGUCACACCGGGUCCAAAGGAAGGGUGCA